UAGUCCACGCUGUAAACGAUGGUCACUCGAUAUAUGCACCUAUGUGCAUGUGUCCAAGCGAAAGCGUUAAGUGACCCACCUGGGGAGUACGCUCGCAAGAGUGAAACUUAAAGGAAUUGACGGGGGUCCGCACAAGCGGUGGAACAUGUGGUUUAAUUCGAUAUUACGCGAGAAACCUUACCUAGGCUAAAUGUCUAUUGCAACACCAAGAGAUUGGUGGUUCCGCAAGGACGAUAGACAAGGUGCUGCAUGGCUGUCGUCAGCUCGUGCUGUGAAGUGUCGGGUUAAGUCCCAUAACGAGCGCAACCCCUAUCUUUAGUUGCCAGCGAUUCGGUCGGGGACUCUAAAGAAACUGCCGGCGUAAGCCGCGAGGAAGGUGGGGAUGACGUCAAAUCAUCACGGCCCUUACGUCUUGGGCUACACACGUGCUACAAUGGUAGGGACAGAGAGUCGCAAACUAGUGAUAGUGAGCUAAUCUUCAAACCCUAUCUCAGUUCGGAUC
rnacentral:rRNA from 1 species